UCGUCGAUAGGGGAGGUAAAAAUUGAGGGUGGGGGAAAUUAAAAGGAGAAAAUGAGGGUUUUAGCAGAGAAGUCAAAAUUAAGGGUGGGAGAUGAAAAAUGAGUAUUAGCGACGGUGGAACUAUAUUCACCAUCGCUAAUAAGUUUAAUAAAUAAAAAUUUUAUUUUUUAUGAUGGCUCAUUCCAUCACUAAUUGUGCCGUUGCUAAUACUAUUUUUGCUAUUGCUAAUAAGUUUAAUAAAUAAAUUUUAUCUUGCAACGGCUUAUCUUUUGGUUGCGAUUGAUGGUCGGUAAAAACUAUUAUUAGUGAUGGCAAAAUUGCCAUCACUAAUAGCCAUCACUAAAAGUUAUUUUGCUUAUAGUAUGGCUAUAUUCAUUCAGAGAUGAAGCACCUUUGAGAGACUCCUACCUAUAUUCAUCUAGAGAUGAAGCAUCUUUUUCAUGGUUAUAUUCAUCCAAAGAUAAAAUGCCUUCAAGAAACUUCUGAAUAUAUUCAUCUGGAGAUAAAACAUCCUUCUCGUAGCUAUAUUCAUCUGAAAAUAAAGCACCUUUGAGAAACUCCUGAUUAUAUUUAUCCA
rnacentral:lncRNA from 1 species